GGGUGGUUUCACACCAAGUGUUUGAGCUGGCAAAUACUGCACAUGUAAAUAAAAACAAUCCACUAAUAAAUUAUAAAUAUUUAUUCAAUGCUAGAUAAAACCUAUCUAGCAUCGUAAUUUUAGGAGCCAUAAAUUUCAGUUAAUUCAUGCUAUCCAAGAAUGUAUAACCAUCUGCGAUGCCAAAUAUGCACCACAGAAAAUCCGAACUCUAAAUAGAAUGGUAUCAGAUUGGCCCAAGAUCAAAAGCCCAAGUCUUACUGGAAUAAAUUG
rnacentral:lncRNA from 1 species